GGGGAAUUUUCCGCAAUGGGCGAAAGCCUGACGGAGCAAUACCGCGUGAGGGAGGAAGGCUCUUGGGUCGUAAACCUCUUUUCUCAGGGAAGAACACAAUGACGGUACCUGAGGAAUAAGCAUCGGCUAACUCCGUGCCAGCAGCCGCGGUAAUACGGAGGAUGCAAGCGUUAUCCGGAAUGAUUGGGCGUAAAGCGUCCGCAGGUGGCUGUGUAAGUCUGCUGUUAAAGAGUCUAGCUCAACUAGAUAAGAGCAGUGGAAACUACACGGCUAGAGUACGUUCGGGGCAGAGGGAAUUCCUGGUGUAGCGGUGAAAUGCGUAGAGAUCAGGAAGAACACCGGUGGCGAAGGCGCUCUGCUAGGCCGUAACUGACACUGAGGGACGAAAGCUAGGGGAGCGAAUGGGAUUAGAUACCCCAGUAGUCCUAGCCGUAAACGAUGGAUACUAGGCGUGGCUUGUAUCGACCCGAGCCGUGCCGUAGCUAACGCGUUAAGUAUCCCGCCUGGGGAGUACGCCGGCAACGGUGAAACUCAAAGGAAUUGACGGGGGCCCGCACAAGCGGUGGAGUAUGUGGUUUAAUUCGAUGCAACGCGAAGAACCUUACCAAGGCUUGACAUGUCGCGAAUCUUGAUGAAAGUUGAGAGUGCCUUCGGGAGCGCGAACACAGGUGGUGCAUGGCUGUCGUCAGCUCGUGUCGUGAGAUGUUGGGUUAAGUCCCGCAACGAGCGCAACCCUCGUUUUUAGUUGCCAGCAUUAAGUUGGGCACUCUAGAGAGACUGCCGGUGACAAACCGGAGGAAGGUGGGGAUGACGUCAAGUCAGCAUGCCCCUUACGCCUUGGGCUACACACGUACUACAAUGCUCCGGACAGAGGGCAGCAAGCAUGCGAAUGCAAGCAAAUCCCGUAAACCGGAGCUCAGUUCAGAUCGCAGGCUGCAACUCGCCUGCGUGAAGGAGGAAUCGCUAGUAAUUGCAGGUCAGCAUACUGCAGUGAAUUCGUUCCCGGGCCUUGUACACACCGCCCGUCACACCAUGGAAGCUGGUAGUGCCCGAAGUCAUUACUCCAACCUUUCGGGGAGGAGGAUGCCUAAGGCAGGACUGGUGACUGGGGUGAAGUCGUAACAAGGUAGCCGUACCGGAAGGUGUGGCUGGAUCACCUCCUU
rnacentral:rRNA from 1 species